AAAUAUGUACAAACGACAUUUACCUGCUAUCAUCAAGAGAUCCAGUACAGCCAACACGUCGAUCGGAGAGUCUUUGCUCAUGGAUAAUAAGCAUGUUUUGGUCAUUAGCAACGUCUAGUUGGUUUGACACGUUGAUGUCUUGAAAUUGUUCAAAUCUUAUGUAUAACUAAUAUUUUUGUAAAGUUGAUAUGGGUGGACAGAAAUUUCAGUACGAUGAGAGUGGAGGCACAUUCUUUUACUUUCUCCUUUCAUUUCUUGCUCUGCUCUUAAUUCCAGGAACAUAUUAUUGGUGGCCACAUAAUAGAAAAGAAGAAACCACAGUAAAUGAAUGUCAGUGUGAUGACUGCAAAAAGAAGAAGUUUUUACUUCGGUCUAACGAACCGUGGAAAGGAACCAAACACCUAUUUACUAAACUACUCAUCAUUUCUGGAUGGUUGAUCCUGAUUCUUGUCGCCUAUAAAGUUUCCCAGUUUGAUUAUGAAUAUGCUAAUUUUGACCCCUAUGAAAUUCUUGGGGUACCAUUGGGCUCGUCACAAGCUGAGAUUAAGAAGUCAUACAGGAAACUCUCUCUCAUUCUUCAUCCUGAUAAGGAAACUGGAAAUGAGAAGGCAUUUAUGAAACUUACAAAAGCAUACCAAGCCUUAACAGAUGAUGAGGCUCGUCGUAAUUGGGAAAAAUAUGGGAACCCUGAUGGACCGGGUGCCAUGAGCUUCGGAAUAGCCUUACCAUCGUGGAUUGUAGAGAAGGAGAAUUCUGUGUGGGUUCUGGGGCUGUAUGCUCUCGUGUUCAUGGUUGCAUUGCCCACCGUUGUUGGAAUGUGGUGGUACAAGUCUAUCCGCUAUUCUGGAGAUCAGGUUCUCCUGGAGACCACGCAAAUGUACUACUUUUUCUUCCACAAAACUCCGUCCAUGGCUCUGAAAAGAGUGAUCAUGAUCCUUGCUGCAUCACUAGAGUUUUCGAAAAAGCACAACGGAGAAAUUGUGGAAAGACAGACGGAUGCCGAAGAGGUUCCACAUUUAAUUAAGCAGAUCUCAAACUUGAGUGAGAAGAAUCAAGAGCGUCCGCUCUGUUUUGCAUACUCCGUCAAGGCACGUGCCUUGUUAUAUGCUCAUCUGAGUCGUAUCACAUUAAAUCCUAAUUCGUUAGACAAGGACAGGCAGUACAUAGUGAAGAAAUGUCCGUAUCUCAUCCAGGAGAUGGUGAACUGUGUUUCACAGCUCGUUUUACUGGCAUACGCUCGAAGAAUUCCUCAUUUACCCAACAUUGAUACAAUAGAAAACUGCAUGAAAUUGAGUCCAAUGAUUGUGCAGGGGAUGUGGGAGUUCAAGAGUCCACUAUUGCAGCUUCCAUACAUCACUGAUGAAAAUCUAAAAUAUUUUUCAUCCAAGAAGCGACACAUAAAGAGCAUUCAACAGUUUGCACAGUUGAAAAAUGAAGAUCGGCGGCACAUAUUGCAAAGCUUUUCAAAUGAACAAUAUGAAGACGUAAUGAAAGUGGUUGGGAAGAUGCCGUACAUUGAACUCCAAGUCCGUUCUGAAGUGAUUGAUGAUGAGAACCCCACAGUCUACACCGCUGGUGCUAUCGUCACGGUAACAGUUAAAUUAAUACGGCAGAACAUGAGCGAUUUGUUUGGGGAUGACAGUGUGACCGAUAAGCAUGAGCAGCAGGUUGCGUCUGGUUUCAGUAAACUGGGCGAAGAUGAGGAAAAGGAGGAAGACAGAAAAGAGGAGCUGACGAAGAAACCGGUAUGGCAGAAACAACAGAAGAAGGGUAAGAAAGGAACAAAGAAGAAUAUAAAGAAUCAGAAGCCUGUUGGCAGGCCAAUAGCAGCUAAGAAGAGUGAAGAUAAAGCGUCUAAUGCCGUAGAGGCAGCACCCAGUAAGCAAGAAGGGGGCAGGAAGGCAGCAGCGGACACGGGGGAUGAGAGUGAAGGGUCGGAUGACGACGUUGAACGUUCAGAUGAUGAUGAAGAUCAGCACAGUCAAGGAGAGAAGGUGUCAGCGGAGGAUGAUGACACAGAGUGGGAAAAAUUUCAGACACGACUCUCAAAACGUGAGAAAGUAUUAGAGGGCCGCAGUAAACAGUCACAUAGUGUGCACUCUCCAUUUUAUCCUGAGGACAAACAGGAAUAUUGGUGGAUUUACAUAAGUGACCGCAAGAGUCGGACAUUGUUGACUUCUCCGUACCAUGUGACUGCACUGGUGGAGGAAGAAGAAGUGCAGCUCAAGUUCACUGCUCCUCGCUGGCCUGGAGUCUACACUUUCACUGUCUGUGUCCGCUCUGAUUCAUACCUUGGGUUUGAUCAGACGCAUGACAUUAAGUUGGAUGUGAAGGAGGCUGCUGAAGUUCCAACAGAGCACCCCCAGUGGGAUAUGUUGGAUGAUGAAGAGGAAGAACCAGAGGGAGAUGGCAGUGAUCUAUCAGAAUUCACCACAGACGAAGAUGUUGAAGAAGAACAGGAAGAUAAAGUUGUGUUUAGAACGAAAUGACAAGAUGUUCCUGUGGUUUACACAGUCAGAAGAGCAGAGUUCAUACCUCGUGGUUGGAGGCUGUUACAUGAGAGAUGUCUAGUGUAUUGUCUUCCAGCAUAUUUCAGGUGUUUCAUAGAAAUUAGAAUCGAAAAGAAUCCAAGUUUCUUGUAAGUAAGAAUAUUUCUUUGUGUAAUAUAGAAUGUAAAUGACUGUUUGCUCUAAGAAGGGCAAAAGAAUUUUAUUUUUAUUUUAUUUUAUUAUUCCUUAAAAGAUAUUUAUUAAUUAUCAGUGUUUUAAAAAAGGUUAAAGAUUUGUAAUGGUGUAGAAUCUUAUUGUACUUAAUAUAGAAUUAAAAUAUUACCUCUUAAA